rnacentral:rRNA from 1 species
AGAGUUUGAUCAUGGCUCAGAAUCAACGCUGGCGGCGUGCCUAACACAUGCAAGUCGAACGCGAAAACCCCGCAAGGGGUCAGUAGAGUGGCGAACGGGUGAGUAACACGUGGGUGACCUACCUUCGAAUGGGGGAUAACGUCCCGAAAGGGACGCUAAUACCGCAUAACAUCCUGCCUUUGAACAGGUGGAGAUCAAAGCCGGGGAUCGCAAGACCUGGCGUUUGAAGAGGGGCCCGCGUCUGAUUAGCUAGUUGGUGAGGUAACGGCCCACCAAGGCGACGAUCAGUAUCCGGCCUGAGAGGGCGGACGGACACACUGGGACUGAGACACGGCCCAGACUCCUACGGGAGGCAGCAGUGGGGAAUUGUUCGCAAUGGGCGCAAGCCUGACGACGCAACGCCGCGUGGAGGAUGAAGGUCUUCGGAUUGUAAACUCCUGUUGCCCGGGACGAAAAGCUUCGACCUAACACGUCGAAGUCUGACGGUACCGGGUGAGGAAGCCCCGGCUAACUCUGUGCCAGCAGCCGCGGUA